UACGUAGGGUGCAAGCGUUGUCCGGAAUUAUUGGGCGUAAAGAGCUCGUAGGCGGUUUGUCGCGUCUGCUGUGAAAAUCCGAGGCUCAACCUCGGACCUGCAGUGGGUACGGGCAAACUAGAGUGCGGUAGGGGAGAUUGGAAUUCCUGGUGUAGCGGUGGAAUGCGCAGAUAUCAGGAGGAACACCAAUGGCGAAGGCAGAUCUCUGGGCCGUAACUGACGCUGAGGAGCGAAAGCGUGGGGAGCGAACAGGAUUAGAUACCCUGGUAGUCCACGCCGUAAACGGUGGGAACUAGAUGUGGGGUCCGUUCCACGGAUUCCGUGUCGCAGCUAACGCAUUAAGUUCCCCGCCUGGGGAGUACGGCCGCAAGGCUAAAACUCAAAGGAAUUGACGGGGGCCCGCACAAGCGGCGGAGCAUGCGGAUUAAUUCGAUGCAACGCGAAGAACCUUACCAAGGCUUGACAUAUAGAGGAAAAGUGUAGAAAUACACUCCCCGCAAGGUCUCUAUACAGGUGGUGCAUGGUUGUCGUCAGCUCGUGUCGUGAGAUGUUGGGUUAAGUCCCGCAACGAGCGCAACCCUCGUCCUAUGUUGCCAGCACGUUAAGGUGGGAACUCAUGGGAUACUGCCGGGGUCAACUCGGAGGAAGGUGGGGAUGACGUCAAAUCAUCAUGCCCCUUAUGUCUUGGGCUUCACGCAUGCUACAAUGGCUGGUACAGAGGGCUGCGAUAUCGCAAGAUGGAGCGAAUCCCAAAAAGCCAGUCUCAGUUCGGAUUGAGGUCUGCAACUCGACCUCAUGAAGUUGGAGUCGCUAGUAAUCGUGAAUCAGCAACGUCACGGUGAGGAGGUUCCCGGGCCU
rnacentral:rRNA from 1 species